ACUCAAAUGAAUUGACGGGGACUCGCACAAGCGGUGGAACAUGAGGUUCAAUUCGACAGUAAACGAAGAACCUUACCAGGGUUAGACAUCCAGACGAAGGGCUGCCGAAAGGUAGUCCGUCUCUCAAGGACGUCUGGACAGGUGCUGCAUGGUUGUCGUCAGCUCGUGCUUUGAAGUGUUCCCUUAAGUGGGUUAACGAGCGCAACCCAUGUCUUGUGUUUUAUAUGUCACAAGAUACUGCCGUGUUUUCCACGGAGGAAGGAAUGGAUGACGUCAAAUCCGCAUGGCCCUCUGAUACCCUGGGCUACACUCGUGUUACAAUGGCCGGUACAAUGGGUCGCCAAGCCGUAAGGCGGAGCUAAUCCCAUCAAAGCCGGCCCCAGUUCAGAUUGAGGGCUGCAACUCGCCCUCAUGAAGCCGGAAUCGCUAGUAAUCGUGGGUCAGCUAUACCACGGUGAAUACGUUCUCGAGUCCUGUACACACCGCCCGU
rnacentral:rRNA from 1 species